GGACAAGCAAGAUAAAACGUGUACUUGCCCGUCAUGAUACUCACUUGCCCCAGGCAAGCGGGCAAGUGUUAAGUUACACCUCUGCAUAUAUAUUGGAUUAUCGACCAAACCGAGUAUUCUAGUCCAACCAAGUGAAGUGCAAAUAAUAUCCUUAAAGUUGUAAUAUGUAUAGUAGGCCUAUGUUAAGCAGAGACAUGGCCGUGGGCAGAGAGUAGGGAUAUGCUGGAUUGGGUUACUGGCAUCCGGCAAAAUAUAGGCCAUCCAAAACUAUCAAUGCUGUGCCAGAUAUUUAUGCUUAAUAUAUAAAGUGAUAAAGCACAUAUUAAAUAAACUAUGGACUAUUGUUAGUGAAUCUGAUUAUAUUUGCUGAUUGAGAACAAUAUUUGGAGCCGGUGUCACAGCGAAUUUGGACCCCCCCCCCCCUGUAGAUUUGGACCCCUCGGUCCAAAUCUCCUAGUAGAUAUGGACCCCCCAGUUCAAAUCUCCUAGUAGUUAUGGACCCCCUUUAGCGGAUAUGGACCCCCCUUUUUUUAAACACUUUUAUAUACUAAAACAACCCCAAUAAAGGUGAAUAUGUUAAAUUCAUUAGUUUUCAGAUACCCGGAGCUUCUUAUCAACAUACAAGCACUAGCUGCCCAGCUCAAAUAUUAAUCUUGAAAUAUACAAAGACAACAUUUGAGGCACUGUCUCAGCACUAUCAUUGCAAAACAUCACUUUAUAGAAGUGAAGCUCUUUAUAAACCCACUAUUAAAAGAUUCUCCCCUUGACAAGUAAAAUCUUCUGACAAUUUUUAUGGACAGAGUAUUAUGCACUACAGUAGGGGACUUGAGCUUGACACAUUAAGGAUAGAUUUAUAUCGACACACUAAAAAUAGCAUAUUAAAUGCUGUCGUUCCUCUCUGGUUCCGAUCCUUAUUGAAGUACUAAAAUGCAAACAUAUCUUUAAAAGCAUUCGGAUGUUUAAUAAAUAUUAUUUCUUAUAAUUAUUUACCCAGCUUGACAAUAGUCGUAACUCAUACUCUUAAGCAAAGUGCCAAGUUUAAUAUGCCAAAGAAAAUAUUGCUAAAUUGUUAAUAAUAGUAUGAAAUUUAGUAUAGAAUUCACAAUAAUAGGUUCGAAUUUAUAUUUCACUCUUUUUUUGCUGCCAGAAACCAACAUUUUGUAUGUUUUAUAUGCAAAUUGAAAGCGGCAAAUUCAAACAUUCAACGGAAUUUUACACAUGGCCCACAUGGCUCAAGUUAACAAUCAUAUUCACCACAUUAUUUCGCAAUUAAAGAGCUUAAAUAAUAAGUCAAAUAUAAAAGUAUUCUUACCUGUGACAUCUCAAUAACAUGUUAAGAACUUUCCGAUUCCUUUCCCACCGCUUGGGUUAAAAAUAUCAACGAAAUAUUCCAAGCACCGCAGUGAUCAUACCAAAUAUUUUUUAUCACAAAUAAAACGAUGCUAUCCCAUGAAGCUUUGCGCUCUGAAACGUAAACUAGUCACCAGGGCGUCCAGUUGAAG
rnacentral:lncRNA from 1 species